rnacentral:sRNA from 1 species
GCUGGGUGUGGUGGUGCAUUCCUGUAAUCCCAACAGCUUGGGAGGCUGAGGCAGGAGGAUCCACAGGUCAAAGCCAGCCUCAGUAACUGCAAUUCACUAAGCAACUCAGGAAACCCUGUCUCUA